rnacentral:rRNA from 1 species
UACGGAGGGUGCAAGCGUUAUCCGGAAUCACUGGGUUUAAAGGGUGCGUAGGCGGGUGAUUAAGUCAGUGGUGAAAUCUUGUCGCUUAACGAUAAAAUUGCCAUUGAUACUGAUUAUCUUGAAUUGGGUUGAGGUUAGCGGAAUGUGACAUGUAGCGGUGAAAUGCAUAGAUAUGUCAUGGAACACCAAUUGCGAAGGCAGCUAGCUAGGCCUUGAUUGACGCUGAGGCACGAAAGCGUGGGUAGCGAACAGG